GCUGCUGCGGAAACCCGGCUUAGGAACGGGCCGGCAGCCUCCGGCCGCGGCCGGGAAGGCUCUUUGUCCCUUCCUUUGGGCCGCGUCUCUGCCCCUCCGCGUCUGACAGCCGCGGCGCCUCGGCUCGGGCGGAGAGCCGAGCGUGGCUGGGGCUGCGCGAGUCGAGCGGGGCGGGCUUGGUCCGGAGCUGCGGGAUGUAGAUCCCGGGCGGCACCGCACUCACUUCUUUUUCUGUUUUUGACAGCUCAGUUCUCUUCUACUUUGGGAGAGAGAGAAAGUCAGAUGCCCCUUUUAAACUCCCUCUUCAAAACUCAUCUCCUGGGUGACUGAGUUAAUAGAGUGGAUACAACCUUGCUGAAGAUGAAGAAUAUACAAUAUUGAGGAUAUUUUUUUCUUUUUUUUUUCAAGUCUUGAUUUGUGGCUUACCUCAAGUUACCAUUUUUCAGUCAAGUCUGUUUGUUUGCUUCUUCAGAAAUGUUUUUUACAAUCUCAAGAAAAAAUAUGUCCCAGAAAUUGAGUUUACUGUUGCUUGUAUUUGGACUCAUUUGGGGAUUGAUGUUACUGCACUAUACUUUUCAACAACCAAGACAUCAAAGCAGUGUCAAGUUACGUGAGCAAAUACUAGACUUAAGCAAAAGAUAUGUUAAAGCUCUAGCAGAGGAAAAUA
rnacentral:lncRNA from 1 species